GAUGAACGCUGGCGGCGUGCUUAACACAUGCAAGUCGAACGAAGCACCUUGAUUUGAUUCUUCGGAUGAAGAUCUUGGUGACUGAGUGGCGGACGGGUGAGUAACGCGUGGGUAACCUGCCCCAUACAGGGGGAUAACAGUUAGAAAUGACUGCUAAUACCGCAUAAGACCACAGCACCGCAUGGUGCAGGGGUAAAAACUCCGGUGGUAUGAGAUGGACCCGCGUCUGAUUAGGUAGUUGGUGGGGUAACGGCCUACCAAGCCGACGAUCAGUAGGCGACCUGAGAGGGUGACCGGCCACAUUGGGACUGAGACACGGCCCAAACUCCUACGGGAGGCAGCAGUGGGGAAUAUUGCACAAUGGGGGAAACCCUGAUGCAGCGACGCCGCGUGAGCGAUGAAGUAUUUCGGUAUGUAAAGCUCUAUCAGCAGGGAAGAAAAUGACGGUACCUGACUAAGAAGCACCGGCUAAAUACGUGCCAGCCGCCGCCGUAA
rnacentral:rRNA from 1 species